GCAAUCAAGAUGGAGUCUCACACCCAGGUCUUCAUAUUCCUGCUCCUCUGGUUGUCUGGUGAUGAGGGGAACAUUGUGAUGACACAGACUCCUGAAUUCAUGUCCACAUCUGUUGGAGAAAGAAUUAGCCUUAGCUGCAAGUCUAGUCAGAGUGUGAGUGGUUUGGUAUCUUGGUACCAGCAGAAACCAGGGAAGCCUCUUAAACUGCUGAUCUAUGAUGCAUCCGAUAGAUACACUGGGGUCCCUGAUCGCUUCACAGGCAGUGGAUCUGGGACAGAUUACACUCUCAGCAUCAGCAGUGUGCAGGCUGAAGACCUGGCAGUUUAUUACUGUCUGCAGUAUGACAGCUAUCCUCCCACAGUGCUUCAGGAGGCCUGUACUUGGGGUAGCCGUCUCUGCAAUCAGUCACUAAGCACAGAGCUUCUUCCUUGGAGGAUCAGCUGCCUUGCCACAGCCACACCUCUAGAAGGCCCAUCUGUGCCAUUUCAGUCAUGGAGUGACAGAGUUCAGAGGUUCGUGCUUGAACUAGCUACUGUCCUGCUGCAACUGCAGCCCUGCGAGGCCUGCCUGUACCAUUUCAGGACUUUAGUCACUGAGCAUGAAAGAUCAUCAUGCUUGCGGAAAACACUGAGGCUUCAGGGUCCCAACAGGAUGCAACAUCAUGAAGGACCAAACCCUCAGAUAAAGAAUGCCUAUCCCGAAGUGAGUGCCUGA